rnacentral:snRNA from 1 species
AUACUUUUCUCGCCCUUUUAGCUAAGGUUAAGUGUAGUAUCUGUUCUUAUCAGCUUAAUAUUUGAUAUGUGGCCCACCAAUAACAGUUCAAAUCUAGUCAACUAGAUAUCAUUU